rnacentral:tRNA from 1 species
GGGGCCAUAGUGUAACUGGAGAACACGAGAGAUUACGAAUCUCUUAAUCCUGGUUCGAGUCCAGGUGGCCCUACCA